rnacentral:rRNA from 1 species
UACGAAGGGAGCUAGCGUUGUUCGGAAUCACUGGGCGUAAAGCGCACGUAGGCGGACUUGUCAGUCAGGGGUGAAAUCCCGGGGCUCAACCUCGGAACUGCCUCUGAUACAGCAAGUCUUGAGUCCGGAAGAGGUGGGUGGAAUUCCUAGUGUAGAGGUGAAAUUCGUAGAUAUUAGGAAGAACACCGGUGGCGAAGGCGGGUCUCUGGGCAGUAACUGACGCUGAGAAGCGAAAGCGUGGGGAGCGAACAGG